rnacentral:rRNA from 1 species
UGUUAAUAAUUUAUAUUAUAAUACAUUUAUUGUAUUUAGUAUAAUAUUAACACAAUUCAUAUUACUAUAUUUUUUAGUAUAUGAAAUUUUACUUUGAGAAAAUUAGAGUGCUUAAAGCAGGCAUUAGCCUUGUAUACUACAGCAUGGAAUAAUAAUAAAAGAUUUUUACCUUUCUUUUUUUAUUGGCUCUAAGAUAAAAAUAAUGAUUAAUAGGGACAGUUGGGGGCAUUUGUAUUUAACAGUUAGAGGUGAGAUUCUUAGAUUCGUUAAAGACAAACUAAUGCGAAAGCAUUUGCCAAGGAUGUUUUCAUUAAUCAAGAACGAAAGUUAGGGGAUCGAAGACGAUCAGAUACCGUCGUAGUCUUAACCAUAAACUAUGCCAACUAGAGAUUGGAGGUUGUU